rnacentral:rRNA from 1 species
GGGUUGUGAGGUUAAGCGACUAAGCGUACACGGUGGAUGCCCUGGCAGUCAGAGGCGAUGAAGGACGUGCUAAUCUGCGAAAAGCGUCGGUAAGGUGAUAUGAACCGUUACAGCCGGCGAUGUCCGAAUGGGGAACCCCAGUGCAAUUCGUUGCACUAUCGUUAACUGAAUACAUAGGUUAACGA